rnacentral:misc_RNA from 1 species
UCCGGUUUGUCACCGGCAGUCUGGCGUGAGUCCCCAACUUAAUGCUGGCAACACGCCACGGGGGUUGCGCUCGUUGCGGGACUUAACCCAACAUCUCACGACACGAGCUGACGACAACCAUGCACCACCUGUGCAGGGCCCCGAAGGACACCGUAUCUCUGAGGCUUUCCGGCGUAUGUCAAACCCAGGUAAGGUUCUUCGCGUUGCAUCGAAUUAAUCCGCAUGCUCCGCCGCUUGUGCGGGCCCCCGUCAAUUCCUUUGAGUUUUAGCCUUGCGGCCGUACUCCCCAGGCGGGGCGCUUAAUGCGUUAGCUACGGCACGGAUCCCGUGGAAGGAAACCCACACCUAGCGCCCACCGUUUACGGCGUGGACUAC